rnacentral:rRNA from 1 species
CCUACGGGAGGCAGCAGUGAGGAAUAUUGGUCAAUGGACGCUAGUCUGAACCAGCCAAGUAGCGUGAAGGAUGACUGCCCUAUGGGUUGUAAACUGCUUUUAUAUGGGAGUAAAUUGCAGUAUGUAUACUGCGUUGCAUGUACCUUAUGAAUCAGGAUCGGCUAACUCCGUGCCAGCAGCCGCGGUAAUACGGAGGAUCCGAGCGUUAUCCGGAUUUAUUGGGUUUAAAGGGUGCGUAGGCGGGUUGUUAAGUCAGUGGUGAAAUUUGGGGGCUCAACCGUAAAAUUGCAGUUGAUACUGGCGUCCUUGAGUACAGUAGCGGUAGGCGGAAUGUGUGGUGUAGCGGUGAAAUGCUUAGAGAUCACGCAGAACUCCGAUUGCGAAGGCAGCUUGCUGGACUGCAACUGACGCUGAGGCUCGAAAGUGUGGGUAUCAAACAGGAUUAGAUACCCCUGUAGUC